AGUGAACGCUGGCGGUAGGCCUAACACAUGCAAGUCGAACGGCAGCACAGUAAGAGCUUGCUCUUACGGGUGGCGAGUGGCGGACGGGUGAGGAAUACAUCGGAAUCUACUUUUUCGUGGGUGAUAACGUAGGGAAACUUACGCUAAUACCGCAUACGACCUACGGGUGAAAGCAGGGGAUCUUCGGACCUUGCGCGAUUGAAUGAGCCGAUGUCGGAUUAGCUAGUUGGCGGGGUAAAGGCCCACCAAGGCGACGAUCCGUAGCUGGUCUGAGAGGAUGAUCAGCCACACUGGAACUGAGACACGGUCCAGACUCCUACGGGAGGCAGCAGUGGGGAAUAUUGGACAAUGGGCGCAAGCCUGAUCCAGCCAUACCGCGUGGGUGAAGAAGGCCUUCGGGUUGUAAAGCCCUUUUGUUGGGAAAGAAAAGCAGCAGGUUAAUACCCCGCUGUUCUGACGGUACCCAAAGAAUGAGCACCGGCUAACUUCGUG
rnacentral:rRNA from 1 species